rnacentral:ncRNA from 1 species
AUAUCGCCGUCGGUGCCCCGUAAAAAGGGAUAAUAGGGAACCCGGUGAGAAUCCGGGACAGCCCCCGCUACUGUCAGCGGUUUGCGUCUUCAUAUCCAUUGGGUUUUUGCCUGAGAAGGGAAGAUCAGCUUAUACCGCAAGUCAGGAGACCUGCCGAUGAGUUUA